CACCCCAUAAUUCUCUUAUUAAAUUUUUGGCAUGUGACAUUAAAGGAAUCGAUGGCAAACUAAGAGGUGGCUAAGUGUUUUAAGGAAGAAGGACUCUUCCUCUUCUUAACGCAAAAAGAGGGUGGUGGUAUUUAUUUUUUGAUAUGAAACUAGAGUGGCAUGGAGGAGUCCUUCCACACUUGAAACUCUUCCAAGUUGGGUAGGAGUCCAAUUAAAAUAGACCUAAUCGAAUCAGGUCAAAGGCAACAGGUUCAGUUUAGC
rnacentral:lncRNA from 1 species